rnacentral:rRNA from 1 species
UACGUAGGGGGCAAGCGUUGUCCGGAAUCAUUGGGCGUAAAGAGCGUGUAGGCGGCUCGAUAAGUCCGCUGUGAAAGUCCAGGGCUCAACCCUGGAAGGCCGGUGGAAACUGUCGGGCUAGAGUCCGGAAGAGGCGAGUGGAAUUCCCGGUGUAGCGGUGAAAUGCGCAGAUAUCGGGAGGAACACCUGUGGCGAAGGCGGGUUGCUGGGCUGACACUGACGCUGAAGCGCGAAAGCUAGGGGAGCGAACGGG